rnacentral:lncRNA from 1 species
UUCAAUAAAUCACAAUACAAUAAUCAUGACAGCAUAAUAAUAACAGAAUAAAUAACAAACAAACAAACAAGAUUAACACACAGAAACUGAACUAAAUUAGGCUUCACUCUCUUUUGCUUAGAGCUAGUCCCCAGUGGAGUCGCCAUCUGUCGCAUCUCGAAAAAUACGAUUCCUCGCGAUGGUCGCGGAAAAAAAUUACGUUCGAACAGAGUCGCCACCGAACUUUAUUUAUCCUAACAAAGGGAUAGGAAAAUAUCGAUGAAAC